GUGGCUUUAGUAUAGUGGUGAGAAUUCCACGUUGUGGCCGUGUAGACCUGGGCUCAAAUCCCAGCAGCCACA
rnacentral:tRNA from 1 species